rnacentral:rRNA from 1 species
AUUGAACGCUGGCGGCAGGCCUAACACAUGCAAGUCGAGCGGGGUUUUCGGACCUAGCGGCGGACGGGUGAGUAAUGCGUAGGAAGCUGCCCGAUAGAGGGGGAUACCAGUUGGAAACGACUGUUAAUACCGCAUAAUGUCUACGGACCAAAGUGUGGGACCUUCGGGCCACAUGCUAUCGGAUGCGCCUACGUGGGAUUAGCUAGUUGGUGAGGUAAUGGCUCACCAAGGCGACGAUCUCUAGCUGGUUUGAGAGGAUGAUCAGCCACACUGGAACUGAGACACAGUCCAGACUCCUACGGGAGGCAGCAGUGGGGAAUAUUGGACAAAGGGGGCAAGCCUGAUCCAGCCAUGCCGCGUGUGUGAAGAGGGCCUUCGGGUUGUAAAGCACUUUCAGCGAGGAGGAAGGGGUAGUAGUUAAUAGCUGCUACUUUUGACGUUACUCGCAGAAGAAGCACCGGCUAACUCUGUGCCAGCCGCCGCCGUAAUAC